ACCCAUAUUUUGUCACUGUAAAAAAAUGAAUCCCAGACUACUAAAAAUCACCAUAGAAAAUAUUUAUUGUAGACACAGCAACACUGAGAGACCAUUGGGGAAAGUUAUUAAAGUAUUCUGUUUUAAAGGUUGGUGCAAAAAUGUGUAAAAGAAAUAAAAAUAAAAAGUCACAAGUGAAUUGUCCCACGGAUUUCUUUGUUCUACUGUUUAGAACAGAACAUUUUGAUAAACCUUUCCAAAUGUCUCUGCAAUUCACCAUACUGUGGUAAAUAAGCACAAACAGCUAUAACAUUUUUCAGGCUCUCUUGACAAUCACACACAUUUUGCUUUAAAACACCACUUUUGCAAUGCUAACGGGGUGAACGAUCUAGAGCAAGGACCAUUUUUGGAUUUGCAGCAUGGUGCUGCUCUUGUCCAGUAGUGGAAAUCCAUCUGUGAUAUGUAGGUUAUGUAAAAGAGAAUUUGAUUAAAUUAGCGAUGUGAUUGUAUAAAAAUCUCAGUAACAAUGCACCUUCAAGAUGCAAAAAACACACAUCUAGCACAAUAAAAGUAAAAUCCUGAUUUAUUGUUAUACUUGGGUGUCUCUUUAAGAACCUCCAUAUUUCACUAUUCAUCCAUGUGUAAUCACUUAGGUUUUUACAUAAUACUGCCUCAUGAUGCUCAAUUUUGCAAACUUUGACAGUCAUAUCAGACACCAAUACAUUCUUGCAUAACCAUGCUACCCUCACCAUUGACCUUUUAUGACAAAAUGAGAUAUUCUAUGAACUCUCACAAAUUAAAACCAGAUUGCAAAACUGAUACAAUAGUAGUCAAGUUGUAACACUGGCUCAGUUAGAGAAUUUUCCCAGAUCAGUUAAUUUUGCCACAGGAUUUAAUUAACAAAAAUAAAAAGUUUAGUGAAUAACCCUAUAAAUAUUAGUUUUUACAGCUUGUGUUCUGAGGGUCUGUCCUCAUCAAAUUGGAACCUGCCCAUUUUCAAACAAAUGUAUCUCAACUGAAUACUUUAGUGGAUAUUAACUGCCUAGUUAUUUGAAUGGUUGCAAUAUCCCUAAUUACACCAACUGGUUUGACUAAAUAUCAGAUUUUGGUCCAGAUUGACAAAAUCCAGCCACAAUGCCAGAAUGUGAUCAGAAUUUACUGCAAUCAACCAGAUGCAUUCACUACCUGAAUUAAAAAUCUUUUGCAUCUGUAUCCUAUGACAUUAGUGCCAUGCAUAGCACUUUGUACGGCAACCAAGGCUGCUAGAGCCAAAGAGGAUCUAGCCUAUGAAAAGUCCCAGUGUGACUUCAGAUGUCUGUUGCAAACCGAGUGGUGAUUGGUGGUGAGGGGCAACCUUCAAUUUACGCAUGGCAGCACUUAGAGGAAGUGAUGCCAGUACUUGUGAACGAUAGCUAUCACAACUUAUGCCCUUGACCUGUACCUGGCCAUCCCAGUACCCACUGGACCCCUGAAAGUCACCCACACUGCUAGAUUUACACAGAGCUGCAGAAAUAGCCUCCCCCCACACAACUAAUACAAACAGUUAACACACAAAUACAACACUACAAAGCAACUGCAGCACCCUCAAAUAGCAUACGCAGAAUAUGGCUACAUACACACCACAAUAUACAAAAAUAUACAUAUACAGAGGACUACAAAAUCUUGUUUUGGCACAGUACCAAUAAGAGGUUGCCUACCCCUGCCAUAUAGGGUAUAUAUAGUGUCACGGCAAGGAUGCAUAAUUUACUAUUACCCUAUGGAAUAUUAUCCUUUAAUGUAAUUUGUGUAGUAAAUGGCACAAAUUACAGAGAUGGUAUUGUUGAGGUCAAAAGGGGUUACAUCUUUUGAAGCUGGGACCCCCACUGAGGUCAGAUGACAGAAGGGGUAGUGUGAAUGGCAUAGCAAUGUGAAAAGGAUUGUACUAUAUGGAUGUGAAGUAAUCAAGGAUCUGCAAGGUGUGAGGUUCUACACUUGGAAAAAGUCUGAAUGUCUAUUCAUCCAUUUGGCAUGUACCUUGUAAAGUCUAGUUCAAUCAUUUGAUAUGGUAAUGGGAUUAGUUUCAUGAAAAUCCUUGUGUUCCAGUAUUUUAUCCAAGAGAAACAUUAAUACUUACCCACAGUUUAAUAAUUAAGCCUCAUUUUUAUUAUAUUUGGAAUGGGAUAAGCCCACUCCCUUAAUUAAGCCUAAACAUGAGUUGCACAACUUAAAACGUGUGGCAGGAAUUGUGCUGUCUGUCCUAUUGGAUCGUGGGUGGGGCGUGCAACCCAUCUAUGGAAUGGGAAAAUAAUAACAAAUUCAUAGAGGCAAUUAUUAUUUCUGUUGCAAGUACAGUAGAGGAUAUAAAACCAAAAGUUUAUAUUUGGCUUGUUGUUUUCUGGAACAAAGGAGGUAGUCACUUAGUAUCUCUAUGGGUAUGUUUUAUCGCCACCCCUGGGCAAGACUUGAUAAACCACAGGGUAUACAUCUAAUGAUCCUGAAGGGUGCUUGUGUACUUGCUUGGGGCCAAGAUCUAAUUUUGAGUGAGUCACCAUCUUUCCUUGCCAGAGACCCCCUGGACAGAAGUUGUACUUUGAAAACCUAAGUGAGUAAUUAGGACUUCUGUAUUUUAUCCUUUUUGUUUUUAUCUGUUGUUGGUGUAAAUAAUUUAUCAUAUAUUUUUAUAUGCACUGUGAACAUUUUUUGCUCAUAAUAAACAUUCAUUUAUUAAGUUCUGCCUUUGUCUGGUUAAGAAUCACGUUACCUGAAGAGACUAGUUAGUAUUUUUGUAAUUCCUUGAAUAUUGUACCAAGUAAUAUUUGGUGGGUUUUAUGGUUGAUUUACCUGGGGGACCAAGGCACCCCAUUUAUAAAUUGACUUGGUGGUGGCAGCAUUAAAUUAGUAAUAGUUAUAUUAUGUUUAAGUGUGGGUGGUGUUAAAGGGGGAUUUUGUCAUUAUUUCUGGUCUAGUGCAGACAAAUAGUGAACUUUAACCCUUUCACAACCACAACUACAUCACGCAUACUCUUGGAGUAGGGUGCGUUUGUGACAUAUAGUAUAGAAUUUGGAGGAUUCACAAAGCAGCGUUUUUUUUAACUGAACAGGGACCGAAUUCAUCCAGCAGGUUGCACCUGAGCAAAUUAUCGUUCACUUGCUUUCCUAUCUAAAAGUCACCCAGAUCUGUUCAGGGGUUCAGGAUUUCCAUGGAGGUUUUAUUUUGACCAACCGCACGCAUGGUCCCAUGCCCAAAACAGUUCCAGAGAAUCAGGGCUUGCAGUCGGUCUAGUUCAGUAGUUUACAAUAUAACAGAAAUACGAAUGCAACCAGUUUGUAUGUAUACUUAGUCUGUGUCUCUUGUUCGGGAGUAGUGAUGUCGCGAACUUCCCGCGAACUUGCCACGGUUCGUGGCGAACUCCGGUCAGCUGACACAUCCCUGCCAAUCUCCGGCAGACCCUCCC
rnacentral:lncRNA from 1 species